rnacentral:rRNA from 1 species
CCCUUAGAUGUUCUGGGCCGCACGCGCGCUACACUGAUGCAUUCAACGAGCCUAUCCUUGACCGACAGGUCCGGGUAAUCUUUGAAUCUGCAUCGUGACGGGGAUAGAUUAUUGCAAUUAUUAAUCUUCAACGAGGAAUGCCUAGUAGGCGCAAGUCAUCAGCUUGCGUCGAUUACGUCCCUGCCCUUUGUACACACCGCCCGUCGCUCCUACCGAUUGGAUGGUCCGGUGAAGCCUCGGGAUUGUGGUUCUUGCCGCUUUAUUGUGGCGUGACCGCGAGAACUUGUCUAAACCUUAUCAUCUAGAGGAAGGUGAAGUCGUAACA